UACGUAGGGUGCAAGCGUUGUCCGGAAUUAUUGGGCGUAAAGAGCUCGUAGGCGGUUUGUCGCGUCUGCUGUGAAAAUCCAGGGCUUAACCCUGGACCUGCAGUGGGUACGGGCAGACUAGAGUGCGGUAGGGGAGAUCGGAAUUCCUGGUGUAGCGGUGAAAUGCGUAGAUAUCACUCGGAAGGCCAACGGCGAAGGCAGGUUACUGGUACGCAACUGACGCUGAGGCACGAAAGCGUGGGGAGCAAACAGG
rnacentral:rRNA from 1 species